rnacentral:rRNA from 1 species
CGUAGGUAACCUGCCUGGUAGCGGGGGAGUAACUAUUGAAACGAUAGCUAAUACCGCAUAAAAUUGAUUAUUGCAUGAUAGUCAAUUAAAAGGUGCAAUUGCAUCACUACCAGAUGGACCUGCGUUGUAUUAGCUAGUUGGUGAGGUAAAGGCUCACCAAGGCAACGAUACAUAGCCGACCUGAGAGGGUGAUCGGCCACACUGGGACUGAGACACGGCCCAG